ensembl:ncRNA F38B6.16 ncRNA
UGCGGCUCGAGAAUAGGACAAGCAGAAAGCGAAAGUGCCAAAAGCGGGCAGAAUACAGAAUGAAAACUAACUGGUUGAUCGUGGUCGGGAGGAUCAUAGUCGGGCAAAGGAAACAUUGAUGAGGAUCAAAAGUGACAGAUGAUAUGAC